AACCAAAGAUUUGCCUUUAUCUAUUUUCUCCUUUUUUUUUGGGCAAUUUCUCAUUAAUUUAAUUAAUAAGUUGGAAUAGACAACAAACAAAAAAAACAAAAGAACUGUUUUGUAUUUUAAUGCGGACUCCAAAAGUCGCUUCCCAAACGACAAAACCCUUGAUAACUGCCUACUCCAACAAAACAGAACAGUCCCUUCGAGUAACGUAUCUUCCGCUUUCCACAAUUUCUUUCUCGCCUCAAACGGAUGACCUGAAAUUUCUCUUUAUUGAGAUGGGGUCAACAGGGGCAAGGAACUGCGAGUCGGCAAGCCAGCGGUUUACAGAAUUGUGUGUGAUGAACAACAAUUGUGCUUCUGUUUGCAACACUGAGGGCUUCCUGAUGGCAAAUGCAAAGGCCUACAAUCGCCAUUGAUUUUGUCUUAGAAAUUGUUAAAUCUAUCUAGGUCUUCAAUGACGGCCGUAAGAGCUGCAAGAAACAAAUACCUGCUAAAGAUUUUAGCCAAAAAAUAAACUUUGUUGUUCCUCACAAGGAAAUUAGCUAAUCUGAAUCCAAGAAGCAUUUCAACAUGGAUGUUUGAUCCCUCCAAGGAAGCAAGUUAGUCAAACAUAUAGGACUAUUGACGAGUUUUUGGCUUCGUGAAUAUAAUUGUUCAUGAAUUCUCUCCGACAUGUACCGAGAUGAGGAUCGUUGUAUCAUACUAAUAAAUUUAGUUGCAGGGUUUGGAUUUCAAAGUUAUGAAGGUGGUAUAGAGGAAAUUUAGUUCCUCUAAAUACGUUGAAAAUAUCUAGAGUCACGUUGUACUAAAGAAUUUACUAUAAACAUUAUUCCUAUAUCAAUUUGAAACAAUAGUUCAAUAUGGCAUAAUGACUUAUUGCCUCCUUUGCAG